GAGGGAGUAGCUCAGUGGUAGAGCACAUGCCUGGCAUGCACGAGGUCCUGGGUUCAAUCCCCAGCACCUCUA
rnacentral:tRNA from 1 species